GGAGGUGAUAUGGUGGAUCUUGCUGGGGUGGGGGGUGGAGAAAGAGGUUCAGAACCUGAUGGAGGAGGGGGUGAAGGAGAAUUUUGAGGUGAGCUUGCCACCGGUGGGGGUGGGGAACUGGAUGAAGUUGGAGAUGGAACAUUGUCUGGAGGAGGUGUAGAAGGUGAAACAGCUGGAGGGGAAGGUGGGGUCCCUACAGGAGGGGCUGGGGAAACCCGGGGAGAGGGAGAACCUUCUGAUGGAGGUGGUGGGGACAAAACUGGAGGGGGUGUUGAGUUCACAGCUGGAGGAGGGGCAGAUGUUGGAGGUGAUGGUGGCGGUGAUGCUGGAGGUGAUGGUGGUGGUGAUGCUGGAGGAGAUGGUGGUGGUGAUGCUGGAGGUGAUGGUGGUGGUGAAGUUGGUGGUGGUAUUGAUGCAGGCGGCGGUGGUGGUGAUUCUGGAGGAGAGGCAGUAACUGAUGGUGGAGGAGAUUGAGUAGGUGGGGGUGAAGGAUUAGAAGGGGUUGAGGGUGCUACUUGGUCAGAAGUCUGAUUAGGAUCAGAGCCAGCAGGAGGUUGUGAAUUACUGGAAGAAUUUGAAGAAGAGGAAGAUGACGGGGAGGUAGCAGUGGAAGGAGGAGAAUUUGGAGAAG
rnacentral:lncRNA from 1 species